GCCUAACACAUGACAGUCGAGGGGUAACAUAGAAAAGCUUGCUUUUCUAGAUGACGACCGGCGCACGGGUGCGUAACGCGUAUACAACCUACCUUUUAGCGGGGAAUAGCCCAGGGAAACUUGGAUUAAUGCCCCAUAGUAUAUAAACUUCUCCUGAAGUUUAUAUUAAACAUUUAUGGCUAUAAGAUGGGUAUGCGUCCUAUUAGUUAGUUGGUAGGGUAACGGCUUACCAGGGCAGCGAUAGGUAGGGGUCCUGAGAGGGAGAUCCCCCACACUGGUACUGAGACACGGACCAAACUCCUACGGGAGGCAGCAGUGAGGAAUAUUGGACAAUGGGCAAGAGCCUGAUCCAGCCAUGCCGCGUGCAGGAAGACUGCCCUAUGGGUUGUAAACUGCUUUAACAGAGGAAGAACCACCCCCACGUGUGGGGGUGAGACGGUACUCUGAGAAUAAGGAUCGGCUAACUCCGUGCCAGCAGCCGCGGUAAUACGGAGGAUCCAAGCGUUAUCCGGAAUCAUGGGGUUUAAAGGGUCCGUACGCGGGCAGUUAAGUCAGUGGUGAAAGUCUUCCGCUCAACGGGAGAACUGCCAUAGAUACUGAGUGUCUAGAGUUAUUAUGACGUGGUAAGAGUGAGUAGUGUAGCGGUGAAAUGCAUAGAUAUUACUCAGAAUACCGAUUGCGAAGGCAGAUCACUAAUAAUAUACUGACGCUGAUGGACGAAAGCGUAGGUAGCGAACAGGAUUAGAUACCCUGGUAGUCUACGCCGUAAACGAUGGUUACUAGCUGUUCGGCCCCAUUGAGGGCUGAGUGGUUAAGCGAAAGUGAUAAGUAACCCACCUGGGGAGUACGUUCGCAAGAAUGAAACUCAAAGGAAUUGACGGGGGCCCGCACAAGCGGUGGAGCAUGUGGUUUAAUUCGAUGAUACGCGAGGAACCUUACCAGGGCUUAAAUGUAGUCUGACAGGUCUGGAAACAGACUUUUCUUCGGACAGAUUACAAGGUGCUGCAUGGUUGUCGUCAGCUCGUGCCGUGAGGUGUCAGGUUAAGUCCUAUAACGAGCGCAACCCCUGUGGUUAGUUGCCAGCGAGUAAUGUCGGGAACUCUAGCCAGACUGCCGGUGCAAACCGCGAGGAAGGUGGGGAUGACGUCAAAUCAUCACGGCCCUUACGUCCUGGGCCACACACGUGCUACAAUGGUAGGGACAGAGAGCAGCCACUUCGCGAGAAGGAGCGAAUCUACAAACCCUAUCACAGUUCGGAUCGCAGUCUGCAACUCGACUGCGUGAAGCUGGAAUCGCUAGUAAUCGCAUAUCAGCCAUGAUGCGGUGAAUACGUUCCCGGGCCUUGUACACACCGCCCGUCAAGCCAUGGAAGCCGGGGGUACCUGAAGUCGGUCACCGCAAGGAGCCGCCUAGGGUAAAA
rnacentral:rRNA from 1 species